UACGUAGGGUGCGAGCGUUGUCCGGAAUUAUUGGGCGUAAAGCGCGCGUAGGUGGCCUCAUAAGUCCGCUGUGAAAGUCAAAGGCUCAACCUUUGAAAGCCGGUGGAUACUGUGGGGCUAGAGUACGGAAGAGGCGAGUGGAAUUCCUGGUGUAGCGGUGGAAUGUGCAGAUAUCAGGAGGAACACCAAUAGCGAAGGCAGCUCGCUGGGACGUUACUGACACUGAGGCGCGAAAGCGUGGGGAGCGAACAGG
rnacentral:rRNA from 1 species